CUUCUUCUUUUUGUUUUUUUUUUUUUAAUGAUAGCAAAAUUUACAAUAAUUUUCAGCAUCUAACCAAAUGUAUUCUUUAGUUUUGAAAAGUGAUCAACAUUCAAAUUAUAAGUUCGAUAGGUUGCAAAAAUCUAAAAUGGAUAAUAUUAAUCAGGGACAACAACAGCAGCAACAGCAGCAACAGCAGCAACAGCAGCAACAGCAGCAACAACAGCAACAAAAGCAACAAAAGCAACAACAGCAACAAUCACAACAGGAGCAACAGCUACAGAAACGGCAUGCACAACAACAAUUCCAACAACAACAACAAAAAAAACAACAACAACUGAGUAAUUAUAAAGAGAUUAAUCAAAACCUAACAUCGUCGACGAAACAAUUUGCCGAAGAAAGUAUUAAGAAAAAAAAAAAAAAGGAUAUUAUUGUAAGAAGCUUGAAGAUUCUGAAUAACUCUUCUUUAUGUAGUUCUUCUUCUUUGACGAAAAAAAAAGUUCGUAAAAAGAAUUGCUCUACUUGCAAGGAAAUGAAAAAUCAAAGAGUUAUGGCGAAUGUCAGAGAACGGCAAAGAACUCAGAGCUUGAAUGAAGCAUUUGGUGCACUUAGAAAUGUCAUUCCUACAUUGCCGAGCGAUAAACUGAGUAAAAUUCAAACAUUGAAACUUGCCGCACGUUAUAUAGAUUUUUUAUAUGAAGUGCUACGUUGUAAUAUCAAAAACAACGAGGAGGAAAAUGAAGAGAAAAAUUCAAGAAAUGUAAUAUUAUCUUCAAAAGAAAUAAAGUCAUUAUCAUGCAAUUAUAGGGAACAUGAAAAAUUGUCUUACGCGUUUAGUGUUUGGCGUAUGGAAGACGAUUGGAACUUAAAUACAUGAAUAAUUUAAUUGUAUUUUUUUUGGACCUAACCUCAUAUUUAAGCCACAUAAUCAUUAUAUGUUUUGAGAGCUGAUAUAGCAAGGCUUGUGUGUAAAGAAAGUCCAAUUGAUUCUAUGCAGUAGUUUUUGAUUGGUGCCGUUUUAAAUAUGGAAAGCAAUAAGCAGCAUUUUCGUCAUAUUUUACUUUUUUACUAUAGAAAAGGUAAAAAUGCUGUUCAAGCCAGAAAGAAAUUAAUCGAUGUGUAUGGAGAAGAUGUGUUGCCAGUACACCAGUGUCAUAACUGGUUUGCAAAAUUUCGAUCCGGCAAUUUUGAUGUCAAAGAUCCACCACCUUCUGGAAGACCGGUUGAAGUUGAUAAAGACAUGAUAAAGGCAUUAGUUGAUGCAAACCGGCGAAUAACAACACGUGAGAUCGGUGAGAGAUUAAAUUUAUCAAAUUCAACUGUUUAUGACCACUUUAACCUCGAAGCUCGAUAUAUGGGUUCCCCAUGUUCUCACGGGGAGAGAUUUGUGUCGUCGCGUUGACGUCUGUGAUUCGCUUCUCAAACCUCAAGAAAAUGAUCCAUUCUUGAAGCGUAUCAUUAUUGAGGACGAAAAAUGGGAUGUAUAUAGCAACGUCAAACCCAAAAGGUUAUAGAACAAAAAAGAUGAACUGGCUAAUUUCCGAAGCCAAUAUUCAUCAAAAAAAGGUGAGGCUGUCUGUUUGGUGGAAUUUUGAAGGAAUCUUUUUUUUUAAGAUUUUACCAGAUAACACAACAAUUAAUUCGGCGGUCUAUUGCCAUCAAUUUGGACAAACUGAGAUGCAAAUGAUGAACCUCAACAGAAAAGGCCAGAAUUAAUCAACAGAAAAGGUGUAAUGUUCCACCAAGAUAAUGCGAGAUCUCAUACAAGUUUGGUCUCUCGCCAAAAACUUUUACAGUUUGAAUGGGAUACAAUGCCACACCCACCAUAUUCUCCAAAUUUGGGAUCUUUGGAUUAUUAUUUGUUCCGGUCACUGCACAACUUUUUAGACGGGUGAUACAAAUGUUGAUAUCAAGACCACACCUUAUGUCAAUUUUCUACUUCAAGUGCUGCAUUGUGAUAUGGAAGAAAUAACGACGUGUUAACCGGUGAGAGAUUCUUUGUCGUUGUUUUUUUUUUUUAUUAUCUAUUUAUUUUAUUUUCAAUUUAAAAUCAAUGAUAGUCUUCUCUCUCUCUCUCUCUCUCUCUCUCUCUCUCUCUCUUUCUCUUAUUGGUUUUAUGCAUGCUCUAAUGUUCGUUAAGUUUGAAAAUGUUUCUCCAUACGUAAAUCGUAUUUUCAAUUUUAAUAUAUUUAAAAUAUAGGA